AGAGUUUGAUCCUGGCUCAGGACGAACGCUGGCGGCGUGGAUUAGGCAUGCAAGUCGAGCGACGGACCUUCGGGUUACGGAGCGGCGAACGGGUGAGUAACACGUGAAUAACCUACCCUCUCAUUCCGGAUAAUUGGCUGAAAAGCCUUGUAAUACGGGGGAGGUUGCGCUUGGGGCAUCCCAUGGCGUAACGAACAAGCAAUUGGUGCGAGGCGGGGUUCGCGGAUUAUCAGCUAGUUGGUGAGGUAACGGCUCACCAAGGCUACGACGAUUAGCUGGUCUGAGAGGAUGGUCAGCCACAUUGGAACUGAGAUACUGUCCAGACUCCUACGGGAGGCUGCAGUCGAGAAUCUUGGGCAAUGCACGAAAGUGUGACCCAGCGACGCCGCGUGCAGGAUGACUGCCCUCUGGGUUGUAAACUGCUUUUACGGGAGAAGAAUCAAUGACGGUACCCCGUGAAUAAGCCACGGCUAACUACGUGCCAGCAGCCGCGGUAAUACGUAGGUGGCAAGCGUUGUCCGGAUUUACUGGGCGUAAAGCGAACGCAGGCGGACUGUUAAGUAGGAAGUGAAAGGUCGGAGCUCAACUCCAACAUUGCUUCCUAUACUGGCAGUCUUGAGUAGCGGAGAGGAAGGGGGAACGACACGUGUAGCGGUGAAAUGCGUUGAUAUGUGUCGGAACACCCAUGGCGAAAGCACCCUUCUGGACGCAAACUGACGCUCAUGUUCGAAAGCUAAGGUAGCGAACAGGAUUAGAUACCCCUGUAGUCC
rnacentral:rRNA from 1 species